UGCCCAGCAACUCCUAUCCCUACCUCCACGCGGUACCGGCCGGUAACUAUAAGCAACCACCCCGGCCUUAGCCUGAUCGGUAAGG
rnacentral:ribozyme from 1 species